AGAUUAAGUUAUUAAGGGCGCACGGUGGAUGCCUUGGCACUAGAAGCCGAUGAAGGACGUUACUAACGACGAUAUGCUUUGGGGAGCUGUAAGUAAGCUUUGAUCCAGAGAUUUCCGAAUGGGGAAACCCAGCAUGAGUUAUGUCAUGUUAUCGAUAUGUGAAUACAUAGCAUAUCAGAAGGCACACCCGGAGAACUGAAACAUCUUAGUACCCGGAGGAAGAAAAAGAAAAUUCGAUUCCCUUAGUAGCGGCGAGCGAAACGGGAAGAGCCCAAACCAACAAGCUUGCUUGUUGGGGUUGUAGGACACUCUAUACGGAGUUACAAAGGACGACAUUAGACGAAUCAUCUGGAAAGAUGAAUCAAAGAAGGUAAUAAUCCUGUAGUCGAAAAUGUUGUCUCUCUUGAGUGGAUCCUGAGUACGACGGAACACGUGAAAUUCCGUCGGAAUCUGGGAGGACCAUCUCCUAAGGCUAAAUACUCUCUAGUGACCGAUAGUGAACCAGUACCGUGAGGGAAAGGUGAAAAGCACCCCGGAAGGGGAGUGAAAUAGAACCUGAAACCGUGUGCUUACAAGUAGUCAGAGCCCGUUAAUGGGUGAUGGCGUGCCUUUUGUAGAAUGAACCGGCGAGUUACGAUUUGAUGCAAGGUUAAGCAGUAAAUGUGGAGCCGUAGCGGAAGCGAGUCUGAAUAGGGCGUUUAGUAUUUGGUCGUAGACCCGAAACCAGGUGAUCUACCCUUGGUCAGGUUGAAGUUCAGGUAACACUGAAUGGAGGACCGAACCGACUUACGUUGAAAAGUGAGCGGAUGAACUGAGGGUAGCGGAGAAAUUCCAAUCGAACCUGGAGAUAGCUGGUUCUCUCCGAAAUAGCUUUAGGGCUAGCCUCAAGUGAUGAUUAUUGGAGGUAGAGC
rnacentral:rRNA from 1 species